ensembl:lncRNA
GGCAGCGCCGGCACGCGCCGUGGCUGGGAUGCUGAAGCUCUUGCUGAGGCUGCGCCAGCGAUUACCCAGUCCKCUUGCUGACUCAGCUACAUCACGUCUCCCCUCAUCCUGCUGCUAAUUAGACUCCAGCCUCUCAUCUUGUUAAUAAGCUUCCAGUUCAUUUGCAUACAAAAAAAAAAAGGGAGAAGGAAAGCAAGCAGCUCGUUUUACCUUCAACAUGUGGCUAAGUCUUAUUAAAAUAUUUAACUUUUUAUCGCGGCGCAGAAGCAGCUGUUUAGCCUGAGCCCGGCGCAGGCAGCUGCAACCAGUUUGGCGCUUCCCGGGCGCGCUGGACCUUCCCCUGUGGAGCAGGAGAGCGGCACGCAUGUGCCGACCGAAUAGCCAUCCUGCGGAGUACCCAAGGGAAAUCAGAAGUGAAAAAGCUGCAGAGGGGCUGAGAGCAGAAGCGGCUGUAGCUCCUGCAGGCCAGGAGGUGCUUGCAAUGGGGGCUGCACAGUGCCCACAUCUGGAGAAGAAAUGCGGGUGACACGCUGGCCGAACGGUGUCCAACACGCCAUGGUUUGCAGCACUUACAGAGCCCGAUUUGGGCAUUGAGUGGGUAAAUCCCAUCAGGUUUCCAGCCCACGCUGCGCAGCAUGCAGCCUCCCGACGGGAGCCUGUCCCGAAAAGGAGCAAGGCGAAGGCCGUGUUAGCAAUGCAGGCGAACGCUGGAGUGAAGGAGGCUGCGAGCGGCAUGGCAGGGCCAGGCACGGCCGCUCACGGGAAGCAGCCUGGGCCGGAGCUCGUGGGUUUUCCGGAGGAUGGAGGAAACAGCUGCCGUCUUCAGCAGCCUCGGCAGGGAGCGUCAGCACCGGCGCGGCGCGCGAGGCCGGCAGCGGUGGGCGCCUGCCCCGGGAGAGCUCGCCUCGCUGCGCCGCGCUGCUGCGCGUCCGAUAAAUAGCUGUCGCCCGACUUCCAGGGCGCCUGGGCUUGCGUAAAGGCUGCUCCGAAAGAGCGCUAGCGGUUAAACAGCUGUGACCGCUUUAUGAAAGAGGCAACACAAAUGUAAUUUUGGAUGUACAUAGUUACACACACACGUAUACCUAUAUGUGCGUAUAUCACAGAAUGUAUAAAUACUCAAACAUAUGUGUAAAAAAUAUAUAUAAUAUGUAAUAUAUAAUGUGAUAUAUGAUAUAUAUUAUAUACAUGUAUACACAUACACAUACAUAUACACACAUGCAUGUGCAUAUAUUUAAAUACACAAACAUGUAAAAUGUAUCUAUAACAUAUAACCUAAUACAUGUAGAUAUACAUUCACAUGUAUGUAUGUAUAUACAYACAUAGACAUAGACAUACAUGUAUUUUWUWUAUAUAUAUAUAUAUAUAUAUAUAUAUAUAUACAAAAAGGUGAAAGUGUCUUGGUAGUCUGUGAGGUUCCCAAUAUUCUGGACACUUGCAAAGCCCAAGCAAUGGUUUUGGUGCCUAGAAACAACGGUUGCUUUAGGAGGGGACUGUGAUGUGAACUAGAGCUGCCACCCCUGCAAAAAAGCCUCUCCAGGCAGCCCCUUCCUGCUGCACAUUUUUAACAGGCAAGCUGACAGCACGGCCAACACGGGUAGCUGGACGGACGACGUAUCUUAGGGCAGCCCUCUGCCCCGCUGUGGGCACUGGGUACCUUCCUUACACCCCCUUUUGCCACCGGCACAGCCACCUCCCUGCCCCAGAGGCUGGCCCAUCUCCACCGUGGCGCGUGCCACCGCUGGGUCCAUGCUCGGCACGAUCCUGCCUGCUGCAGAGCCUCUGAGCCCGGCCGGUGCCACGCAGCGUGCAGAGGGCCACAGGUGCAGCAAUGUCCUGCCUGCAGCAACCAGGCCUGGGGUGGGAUGGGAGCAGGCUGGGGACGACCAGCGUGGGCAGGUUUUUCACGGACGGAGGGGUCCCGGCCCGUCACACCUUUAAUCAGCGCCAGUCAGGAGCAGUCUGCAGGCACCACACCAGCCAUGGGCUUGACGGAGGGAUUUGACGGGAGGUGAAAAGAUAAGCUUGGGAAUGUGGAGGCUGAGAGUUUUUGCUUAUGCAUUGGAGAAAAUGUGGAGGGACAGACAUAAUACGCAGCCACUUAAACCUCAGACUGGUUCCUUGAUCCUUCUAAUUACACGCGUCGGCUGGGGAAUUCGCAGGACAAUUAGACUCCACGCGCGCUGCCGCGCAUUUGUUGGAAGGCGACGGUGGUGAAAUGCGAUCUCCCCAUUUCCUUGGGAGGCAGCCGCUGAGUCUCACUCCAGAUAUUCGUUAUGUGCCACUGACAUUUAGUGUGGAGCCUGAGCACRUGAAAUGCUUUUGUAGCGCUCUUCCCUUUUAGCUAACAGGGGCAGACAGCGUGGCCCAAUGGAUCCCUCCAGAAGUACCCACCAUUUGGUUGUGGAGGGCACUUGCCUUCGCUGGAAGAUCCRAUGAUAGUGAGGAACCCGUGGGAAGUCCCUGGGCACUGUGGCUGGAUAGACUUAUUAAGGACAACACCUUCUCCAAAGGAAGAUGAUCUUACAAAACAGCCUAGAAAUGYGCUGUGCCCAGGGAGCAAACCAGAAACUGUCACCAACACAAAUGGCCACGUUGUUGUUCAACGCAUACUAUCCCUAGUAACAUACCAGUGUUUUUAUUGAUGUCUUGAGACCUGUUCUGCUCGUGUUAGGAGACGCACCAAGGAAAAGGCAUUCAAGGAGCCUCCCUGGCUCACUGUGAAAGAAAGUUAAUUAAGCUCUUUUUGGCAUAUUAGUGGAGACAGUCUUAUUAGAGACAUUUGGCGUUAAUGAUAUGCAUGUACUCUGCUCCCACAGAAAACUGCAUUUAAAUAAAUUGAUACACAGUUCAGCUGUUAUC